CAGAUGGGUGACCAUGCAUGGCAAAAGGAGCAGGGUCGCGCUGCAGGUCCCGGGAGGUUUUGCUCCACCGCCCCGGGCUGCACCCACACCCCCCGCCCCACAGCUGUGACCCCCUAACUGGUGACCACCAGAGCAUCCACCCCCCCCACCACCCUGGAGAAAAGUUUGACAUCAGUGAGCAAUGCAGGAGAAGGUUUAGGAUCUGCUCAGCUCAUCUCCAGCACCAUCAGAAAAUCCACUGGGGUGAGAGACCCCAGAGCUGUCCUGACUGCAGGAGACGGUUUAGCGACAGCUCGGAUCUGGUCCAGCGGUGACACCAUCACACAGGCACCAUGUCCUACACCUGCCCUGACUGCGGGAACGGUUUUAGCAGGAGAUGGAAUUUUAUCCAGCAUCAGCG